rfam:Sus scrofa chromosome 6.
UCCCUGAUGGUCUAGUGGUUAGGAUUUGGUACUUUCACCACUGCGGCCCAGGUUCAAUCCCUGGUCUGGGAA